rnacentral:rRNA from 1 species
AGUGAACGCUGGCGGUAGGCCUAACACAUGCAAGUCGAACGGCAGCACAGGAGAGCUUGCUCUCUGGGUGGCGAGUGGCGGACGGGUGAGGAAUACAUCGGAAUCUACUUUUUCGUGGGGGAUAACGUAGGGAAACUUACGCUAAUACCGCAUACGACCUACGGGUGAAAGCAGGGGAUCUUCGGACCUUGCGCGAUUGAAUGAGCCGAUGCAGGAUUAGCUAGUUGGGGGGGUAAAGGCCCACCAAGGCGAGGGUCCGUAGCUGGUCUUAGCGGAUGAUCAGCCACACUGGAACUGAGACACGGUCCGGACUCCUACGGGAGGCAGCAGUGGGGAAUAUUGGACAGUGGGCGCAAGCCUGAUCCAGCCAUACCGCGUGGGUGAAGAAGGCCUUCGGGUUGUAAAGCCCUUUUGUUGGGAAAGAAAUCCAGCUGGUUAAUACCCGGUUGGGAUGACGGUACCCAAAGAAUAAGCACCGGCUAACUUCGUGCCAGCCGCCGCCGUAA